CAUCCCUGGGCUACCAUACGGUCUCAAAGGCAACGUAACCAAUCUGGCAAAUUUCAAUGUGAAAAAAGAGAAAUGCAAGCUUUAUAUUUGACUCUCUAACUUUCCAAAACACCAUACUUAGGGGGUACUGUUAUACUUGGGAGACUUCACUGAACACAAACACAAGUGUUUCAAAACAGUAAAACAUAUUACAACAAUCAUAUAGUCAGUAAAAGUGCCGUUCAUGUGUGAAAAAUGCAAAACACUUCACUUUUACUAAAUAUAUCAUCAUUGUAAUACAAGUUACAAUUUUGAAACACUAAUAUUUGUGUUCAGCAAAGUCUCCCGAG